rfam:Beta vulgaris subsp. vulgaris Bvchr3.sca003.con0072.1, whole genome shotgun sequence.
AAGAGAAGAGUCGGUCAAGAUAGCCAAGGAGACUGCCUGAAACCAAGUAAUUAGGGACCCUUUGAUGGCUAAAUGCACCUUAAUAUACUUAAGAUUCAAUAAUGCAACUUUAGAUCCCUAAAUUAACUCAAGGAGCAGGCAAGUCAUCCUUGGCUACCAAACCAAAACACCCUUUUCU